UUCCCAAUUAGAACCCGGACUGGUUCCAGGGACGGACUGGGUCCCAGGACCAAGUGGUUCCCGCUUAGAUUCCGGACUGCGUCUGGGAACGGACUGGGUCCUCUUUAGAGCCCGGAGUGGAUCCGGGGACGGACUGGGUCCAACUUGGAACUUAACCGGUUCAGAGAAGGGACUGGGUCUGGCUUAAAACCCAGACUGCCUCUGGGGAUUGAAUGGGUCCAAGUUGGAGCCUGGACUGAGUUGGGGAAGCGACUGGGUCUGACUAAUCUGGACUGGGUCCAGUGUGAGGCCUCAGUUUCUGGUGACCCGGAAGAGGCCUGCUGGGACACCGCAGCACUCCAGAGCCUGCACACAGGGUCCUGGGAAACUGGCGGAAAACAGCAAAGGAUGGAUUCCUACUGUGCUUUCUCAGCAACUUCCUUCUGCUUCAUUACCCAAACAAUUCUGCAGAAUUGUACACACCAGUUCCUGUAGACUUAAUUUCCUGGUAAGUUUUGAUCCUUUUAUUUAAUUCAUCAGUAAUGUUAAUAGAGGAGCUAUAUGGGAG